CAUUUUUUACUUUUUCCCUCCCACUUUUCUCUCUCCCAUACAACAUUUCCCCCCAAUUUGCCGCCUCCUCUUCUCACAGAACACAACCCAACCACUAUCCUUCCGAUUUCCCUCUUCCUCUUCUCACAACCUACCAUCUGAACGCCGCCGCUACCCUUUCUCGAUUUCCCUCUUCCUCUUAUCGCAACCCACCAUGCAAAUGUCGCCGCUAUCCUCCCCAUUUCCCUCUUCCUCUUCUCGCAACCCACCAUUCGAACGUCGCUGCUACUUGCUACCAUCUGAAUGUCGCCGAACGCCACUGCUAUCUGCUAGCAUCUGAACGUCGUUGGAGGCCGCCACUCCUUUGCUCACCAAACUCGUCGUAAGUGCUCCAUUCGUUGCAGCUCACCCUAAGUUCACUCGUGAGGGAUUAAUAUCAAGCUAGUGGAUGAAUACUUAUUGGAUCUUGAAAGGAGAUUUAAAGGAAGAGAAGGCUAUUGAUCGUGGAAUUCUUUCCUUGCUCCAACCUGCAACUUUGGUUCAAACUUUUGGACAAAGGAACCAUGUUUGCUUGAACGAGGGUCCAUCAUUGUUCCUCCAUACUGUCCUCCCUAGAAAAUGAAAACCCACCUAAUCCCCCUUGAAACUCCUUGCUCUAUCAUCGUCUAUACUUGACAGUCGAUUACUUGACGCUUUUAAAAACGUCAAGUAUACGUUUACUUGACAAUGUAUUCACGUCAAGUAAACCAAUUUUUGUAGUAGUGGGACCGGAGUUGGGUAUAUUGGGAUUUAUGUUCUAAAACUCGUAGAUUGUAAAUGUAAUCAAAUUGACCAUUAUUAAUAAAGUGUUAUUAUUAUAG